GAUGAACGCUGGCGGCGUGCCUAAUACAUGCAAGUCGAGCGAACAGACGAGGAGCUUGCUCCUCUGACGUUAGCGGCGGGCGGGUGAGUAACACGUGGAUAACCUACCUAUAAGACUGGGAUAACUUCGGGAAACCGGAGCUAAUACCGUAUAAUAUAUUGAACCGCAGGGUUCAAUAGUGAAAUACGGUUUUGCGGUCACUUAUAGAUGGAUCCCGGCCGCAUUAGCUAGUUGUUAAGUUAACGGCUUACCAAGGCAACGAUGCGUAGGCGAAGUGAGAGGGUGAUAGGCCACCUUGGAACUGGACCAGCCACAAUGGUCCUGAGAGACGGCGCAGUAGGGAAUGUUAGGCAGUAGGCGAGAGCAUGACGGAGUAGCGCCGAGUCAGUGAUGAAGGCGUCGCGAUCGUAAAAACCUGUUAUUAGGGAAGAACAAAUGUGUAAGUAAAUAUGCACGUAUUGACGGUAACUAAUAAGAAAGCAACGGCUAACUACGUG
rnacentral:rRNA from 1 species